CAAUGUUAUAGCUCUUUCUGAAUUUGUCUAACAAAUUCCAGUGAAGACUGGAAAACUG
ensembl:snRNA U7 U7 small nuclear RNA